rnacentral:rRNA from 1 species
AGAACGAAUGCUGGCGGCGUGGAUAAGACAUGCAAGUCGAACGGGACUUCAUUUAGUAGCAAUACCGAGUGAAGUUUAGUGGCGAACGGGUGCGUAACACGUGGGCAAUCUGCCGAGAAGUGGGGGAUAGCUCGCCGAAAGGCGAAUUAAUACCGCAUAUGAUCAGGGACGACAUCUUCCCAACAUCAAAGCCGGGGCAACCUGGCGCUUCUUGAUGAGCCCGCGGCCUAUCAGCUUGUUGGUGAGGUAACGGCUCACCAAGGCGAUGACGGGUAGCUGGUCUGAGAGGAUGACCAGCCAGACUGGGACUGAGAACGGCCCAGACUCCUACGGGAGGCAGCAGUAGGGAAUUUUCCACAAUGGGCGCAAGCCUGAUGGAGCAACGCCGCGUGCAGGAUGAAGGCCCUAGGGUCGUAAACUGCUUUUAUAUGUGAAGAUUAUGACGGUAGCAUAUGAAUAAGGAUCGGCUAACUCCGUGCCA